rnacentral:rRNA from 1 species
AGGUUCGAUCAUACCAGCACUAGAGCACCGGAUCCCAUCAGAAUUCCGCAGUCAAGUGUGCUUGGGCGAGAGUAGUACUAGGAUGGGUGACCUCCUGGGAAGUCCUCGUGUUGCACCCC